AUUGAACGCUGGCGGCAGGCCUAACACAUGCAAGUCGAGCGGAUGACGGGAGCCUGCUCCUUGAUUCAGCGGCGGACGGGUGAGUAAUGCCUAGGAAUCUGCCUGGUAGUGGGGGACAACGUUUCGAAAGGAACGCUAAUACCGCAUACGUCCUACGGGAGAAAGCAGGGGACCUUCGGGCCUUGCGCUAUCAGAUGAGCCUAGGUCGGAUUAGCUAGUUGGUGAGGUAAUGGCUCACCAAGGCGACGAUCCGUAACUGGUCUGAGAGGAUGAUCAGUCACACUGGACCUGGGACACGGUCCAGACUCCUACGGGAGGCAGCAGUGGGGAAUAUUGGACAAUGGGCGAAAGCCUGAUCCAGCCAUGCCGCGUGUGUGAAGAGGGUCUUCGGAUUGUAAAGCACUUUAAGUUGGGAGGAAGGGCAGUAAGUUAAUACCUUGCUGUUUUGACGUUACCGACAGAAUAAGCACCGGCUAACUCUGUGCCAGCCGCCGCAGUAAGAC
rnacentral:rRNA from 1 species